rnacentral:rRNA from 1 species
UGCAAGUCGAACGGAAAGGCCCUGCUUGCAGGGUACUCGAGUGGCGAACGGGUGAGUAACACGUGGGUGAUCUGCCCCGCACUUCGGGAUAAGCCUGGGAAACUGGGUCUAAUACCGGAUAGGACCAUCGUUUAGUGUCGGUGGUGGAAAGUUUUUUCGGUGUGGGAUGAGCUCGCGGCCUAUCAGCUUGUUGGUGGGGUAAUGGCCUACCAAGGCGUCGACGGGUAGCCGGCCUGAGAGGGUGGACGGCCACAUUGGGACUGAGACACGGCCCAGACUCCUACGGGAGGCAGCAGUGGGGAAUAUUGCACAAUGGGCGCAAGCCUGAUGCAGCGACGCCGCGUGGGGGACGACGGCCUUCGGGUUGUAAACUCCUUUCAACCAUGACGAAGCUUUCGGGUGACGGUAGUGGUAGAAGANGCACCGGCUAACUAC